CCUGGUAGUCCACGCCGUAAACGAUGUCGACUUGGAGGUUGUUCCCUUGAGGAGUGGCUUCCGGAGCUAACGCGUUAAGUCGACCGCCUGGGGAGUACGGCCGCAAGGUUAAAACUCAAAUGAAUUGACGGGGGCCCGCACAAGCGGUGGAGCAUGUGGUUUAAUUCGAUGCAACGCGAAGAACCUUACCUACUCUUGACAUCCACGGAAUUUAGCAGAGAUGCUUUAGUGCCUUCGGGAACCGUGAGACAGGUGCUGCAUGGCUGUCGUCAGCUCGUGUUGUGAAAUGUUGGGUUAAGUCCCGCAACGAGCGCAACCCUUAUCCUUUGUUGCCAGCGGUUCGGCCGGGAACUCAAAGGAGACUGCCAGUGAUAAACUGGAGGAAGGUGGGGAUGACGUCAAGUCAUCAUGGCCCUUACGAGUAGGGCUACACACGUGCUACAAUGGCAUAUACAAAGAGAAGCGACCUCGCGAGAGCAAGCGGACCUCAUAAAGUAUGUCGUAGUCCGGAUUGGAGUCUGCAACUCGACUCCAUGAAGUCGGAAUCGCUAGUAAUCGUAGAUCAGAAUGCUACGGUGAAUACGUUCCCGGGCCUUGUACACACCGCCCGUCACACCAUGGGAGUGGGUUGCAAAAGAAGUAGGUAGCUUAAC
rnacentral:rRNA from 1 species